CGUGGUCCUUCACAAGCUCAGGGUCACCACCUGCGUCUUUAGCCUACUCGUUGAUGUCAACGUCUACAUAGAACCCAUCAGAAGGGGUUGCAGCGUCUUCUGUAAAAAUGUAGAUUAUAGCAACAUGAGUACAAAGGUACUCAGCAAGACUUACAUCAGAUCCUACAUACAUGCAUAGUAUCAAGAAGGGUUGGUGGAGUUAUUGCAGCAAGCCAGCUUUGACUCUUGGCUAGGCUAUCCUACGAUACUCCAACUUGAAAUGGUUUUGCGCACACGAGUCCACUACUCACCACUUCAAUACACUACCGAGGAUCCACCUCCGUCUUCCUACGGAAGAGCCAUCCUCGGCACUCACACUUAUCUUGAGGCUUUUAGUAGUUUCCAUUUACUUGUCUAUGAACUGUAUAGGCAACCAAGUAGUCCUUUACCGCGGACGCGGCUAUUCGAAUAGAUUAUGAUAACCCUGCAGGGGUGUACUUCUUCAUACACGCUCUCACCACUUACCGUCGUUUACACGACAUGUACUCGGCAACCUUCAAGCGGAAGCCCAACGUGGGUGUCGGCCACGACCUACCUAAUCACCUAAGCCUCCAGUCCAGGUUUAUCGCCUAUCCAGGUUCCAUCCACAGGGAGUCCGGCCGAGGUUUCCCAUACGGCCCCGAACGAUGUGAACAGGGUUCCCGAGAUACCUAACGGGUAUUCGGUACACCCGGCCACGUACCUACCGCAUCACAGCCCACCCCUACGGUCAGCGCUGUCCACGGCCUCCAGUAGGCUACAAACACCAGAAACUACUUGCAACUCCUGGACAGAGAGCUAGGGUGAAUAAGAAGUCGAGCGGGGUCAUAUUUCAGGGCCCAAUGCAUGGUAGUAGCUGUAUCUUAAAUCACAUAUACGGAUCUCAGUGCUUAAGGUCGGCUUCAAUGAAACAACCCACCAUGUACUCCUACAUGGCCUCUCAUCGAUACCUUUACCAAAUCGUGUUCACCACACCAUUCUCAUUACCGACAUUAACAUUUCACUCUAGCCCAUCACCCAGAUGAACCAGACCUGACACGACUCUAAGCAUAGCAGGCAUAGCAAGGUAGGAACAACACAUACACAUGGCUCAAUCAACUCCUACACAUGCUAGUGGGUUUCAUCUAGUUACUGUGGCAAUGACAGGUCAUGCAGAGGAAAUGGGUUCAACUACCGUAGCACACAGCAGUUUGAAUCGCGUUGUCUUAAUGCAGUAAAAGAGAGCAGGAGCGAGAACAUGGGAUUGUAUCGAUAUGAUCGAAUGGUUGGUUGCUUGCCUGAUGGUUCGAUGCACGGAUACGGUUCUUCGUUAGGGUAAUCACGGUACUCCUCGGAGGCAGAACCUGUCGCAAAGGACACCGAUACACAAGCAUCACCAAACAAUGUGCAACAAUAUGAUGCAUGCAUGAAACAUGGCAAUAUGAGUGUGUUGGGCUAAUGCAACUAAAACCAGAGGGGUUUGAACAAAUUUGAAUCAAAGAUUCAAAUUUCAAACUCAAACAUGGCCUUUUAAAGUGCUUUUCCUUGUUCUGCUUAAACCAUCAAUUUAACUUGUUUGAUCAUGCAUGAAAAUAGUACAGAUGGAUAGAUUGGAUUUUUCUGAUCAUUUUUCAUAUAUAAUUUGUCCAAUUUGGAGUUACAGAAUAAAAGUUAUGAAUUUUUGAAGUUUAAAUAAUAUUCUGGAAUUUCCUGAUUUAAUUUAAAUCCAGAAAAUCAAUUACUGCGUCAGCCUGACGUCAGUGUGACGUCGGCAGGUCAACGGAACAGUUCUGGGUCAAACCUGACAGUGGGUCCCGCAUGUCAGGGUGAUUAUUUUAAUUAAGAUUUAAUUAAAACUAAUCCUGUAUAAUUAGCAGGGCUGGGCCCCACCUGUCAUUGACUCAGGGGAGUCAACCAGGGCCCACCCGUGGUCAAAGUCAAAGUCGGCUGCCGGCGUUUAGCCGCCGGCGAGCCCGACGCGGCGGCGGGAGUGGUUUUGGCCAUUUCGGCCACCAAAUGGACCGCGGAGACCACCGGAGUGGAGCUGAGGACAAACCGCAGCUCUUGGCGGAGUCCGUUGGGGUCGGGGUGGCCGGAGUCGACGGCGGCGAGCUCGGCUGCGGCCACCGGGGUUCGGUCGUGCACGGGAACGGGGUUGGAGCUCGAAGUCGAGCAAAGCGAGGCGCUAGGGAUGCUCUACGGGGUCUUGCGAGCUCGUUGGACUCGCCGGGGUGACCAAAUGGUCACCGGAGUGCGUCGACGGCGAGCUCGGCGACGGCGGAGGUUCGGCCGUGGUGGGGAGGAGGCUACGGUGGGGGAACGAGGGGGAGGAGAGGGGGAAACGGUGGCGUAGCUCACCGCGGUUGCAGUGGGCGUCGAAGCGGGCUCGGGGACGCGCCGGAGACGACGAAUUCGACGGCGAUGAUGGUCGGAGCCCGAAGAGCGGAACGGCGACGUGGCGGCGAUGCAGGGCUUCCGGGGAGCUGUGGAGCGGUGUGGAGGAAGAGGGGGUCGUGGCGGAGCUUCUGAGCUGGUCGGGGGAGCGAGGGGUGGCCGGAGACGGCNNNNNNNNNNCUCGGUUGGGUGCUACGGUGACCGUGGCCACGACGGCGACAUCGCCGGCGGCGUGGAGCUCUCGGCCAAGGUGGGGCUAGGGCCUAGAGGUCGAAAGAGACCAGGGGAGAAGGGGGAAACGAUCCGGGGGCUCACCGCGGAGCUGCAGGGAUGGUUAGCGGGCUCGGGGACGCGCUGGAGACGACGAAUUCGACGGCGACGAUGGUCGGAGCCCGAAGAGGGGAACGGCGAUGUGGCGGCGAUGCAGGGCUUCCGGGGAGCUGUGGAGCGGUGGGGAGGAAGAGGGGGUCGUGGCGGAGCUUCUGAGCUGGUCGGGGGAGCGAGGGGUGGCCGGAGACGGCUGCUGUGGCGAACGGUGGCGACGGUGGUGUUCGGCCGUGUGAGAGAGAGNNNNNNNNNNCCGGGGCAUCGAGGCGAGGAGGGGAGGGCAGGCAGGCAGGGAGAGAGGUGGCGUGGCGCGGUGGCGCGCGCGCGCGCCGGCCACACUCCCCUCCCUCUGUCGGGACGAAGACGACAGAGGAGGGAGGUGGGCUGGGCCGGCUGCUGGCUGGGCCGGCCAGCUGGCUGGGCUGCACAGGGAGGAGCCCAGGUAAGCUUCUCCCUUUUUUAAUUAUUUCUGUUUUCUAAUUUCUGACAUUUGUUUUGAUUUAAAAAAUAUAUUAAAUCAUUUAUUUAACUUAUGCCAAUUUUUGCAGGAGCCAUAUAUAUUAUUCCAGAGCUCUUUUAUAAAUGGCAUAAUAUUUGCGCAUAUAUUAAUAUAUAUAAUUAAUAUAUUUCCAAUGCAAAUACUUAUGCAUUAAUUCCAAAUGCCCAAAAUAAAUGUCCAUGAGCCACUAAAAAUAUUGGUUUGAUUUUUAUCUCUGUCCAAUAUUUUCAGAGAGCAACAUGAGCAUUUUCUUGGAUCCUUUUGGAGAAAUUUUUAUUUGGGUCAUUUUCAAAAUGAUUCUGAGGGUUUCACAGAUCCCCAUUUCAAGUUUCUGAUGAAAGAGUAAACAUGAUGCAACACUCUAAUGCAUGGCUAACUAGGAUGUGACAACUCACCCCCACUCAAAAGAAUCUCGUCCCGAGAUUUGGGUUCCUCCGGGAAGAAGGCGGGAUACUCGAGUCAAAGACGAUCCUCCCUUUCCCAAGUUGCUUCAUCCUCAGAAUGGUGCGACCAUUGAACCUUGAGAAACUUGAUAUUAUGACAUCGCGUGGUACGUUCGGCUUGAUCGAGGAUACGAAUGGGGUACUCUCGAUAUGUAAGAUUAUCCUGGAGAUCAAGCGUUUCGUGGUCCACUCCACGGAUAGGAUCCGAGAAGCAACGCCUGAGUUGAGAAACGUGGAAGACAUCGUGAACUCUGGAGAGGUGCGGAGGUAGUUCCAACUGGUAGGCAACUUCUCCUCGUUUGGCAAGAAUGCGAAAAGGUCCAAUGUAACGAGGAGCCAAUUUGCCUUUGAUACCGAAACGAUGGGUUCCCUUCAGAGGGGUGACCCGAAGAUAAGCCUUCUCGUCAACCUCGAAGGUCAUAGCCUUAUGUUUUCGGUCAUAUUGACUCUUUUGACGGGAUUGGGCUGUUUUCAACUUUUCACGAACGAUACGAACUUGUUCCUCUGCUUCCUGAAUCAUAUCCGGGCCAAAGAAUUGUCUUUCCCCGGUCUCUGACCAGUUAAGGGGUGUUCGACAUCGUCGUCCAUAGAGAACUUCAAAAGGGGCUUUACCCAAGCUAGAUUGAUAGCUGUUGUUGUAAGCGAAUUCGGCAAAUGGAAGGCACUUCUCCCAGUCCAUUCCGAAAGAGAUAACAGAGGCUCGAAGCAUGUCUUCUAGAAUCUGAUUGACGCGUUCCACUUGACCACUUGACUGAGGGUGGAAAGCGGUGCUAAAGGAGAGACGGGUUCCCAUAGCAUUUUGGAAGCUUUCCCAAAAUCGAGAGGUGAAAAGACUUCCUCGAUCCGAGUUAAUUUCCAAAGGAACACCAUGGAGAGACACUAUUCGGGAGAUGUACAAAUCUGCCAGCUGACUAGCGGUUAUACUCUCACGAACAGGUAAGAAAUGAGCUACUUUGGAAAGACGAUCGACCACGACGAAAAUAGCAUUAUUCCCUCUCUUGGUCCUGGGAAAACCGGUAAUGAAAUCCAUACCAAUUUUAUCCCAUUUCCAUUCAGGAAUAGCUAAGGGUUGAAGGGUGCCAGCAGGCCGUUGAUGCUCUGCUUUUACACGACGACAGACGUCGCAAUUAGCAAUAUACUGAGCAAUUUCUCUCUUCAUCCUAGUCCACCAGAACCUCUGGCGUAGGUCCUGAUACAUCUUAGUACUACCGGGAUGAAUGGUGAGAGGAGAUUCAUGAGCUUCUUUAAGGAUCAACUGCCGUAGAUGCUGGUUCUUGGGAACCACUAGACGGUUCUCAAAGUACACAACACCAUGAUCAUUUGUGGAGAAACAACUAGCACCUCCGCUAGCAAUGUUCUCUUUGAUUUUAGAUAUUCCCUUAUCUCGCUUUUGGGCAGCGAUGAUUUGAUCCGUAAGAGUAGGUUUUGCUACCAAGGUGGAAAGAAAACCUUGAGGUACAAUGUGAAGGUUAAGCUUCCGAAAUUCCUCAUGAAGAAGCGGUUGACUUUGUUGUAACAUCAGGUUGUUACAAUAAGAUUUACGACUUAGCGCAUCAGCCAUGACGUUGGCUUUCCCUGGGGUGUAGGUUAUUCCUAAGUCGAAGUCUGUGAUCAAUUCAAUCCAACGUCUCUGCCUGAGAUUCAAAUCCGGUUGGGUGAAAAUAUACUUCAGACUUUGGUGAUCAGUGAAUAUUUCGCAACGAUUACCGAGGAGGUAAUGUCGCCAGGUCUUAAGUGCAUAGACUACGGCUGCAAGCUCUAGAUCAUGAGUAGGAUAAUUCUCCUCAUGUGGGUGCAAUUGCCGUGAAGCGUAAGCAAUUACGUGUCGAUCUUGCAUAAGAAUGCAACCUAGUCCUUGUCGCGAGGCGUCGCAGUAGAUAACAAAGUCCUUGGAGAAGUCUGGCGGUACCAGCACGGGAGCAGAGGUCAGGCGUCUUUUCAGUUCCUGAAAACUGUGCUCACAUUGUGGAGUCCACUCGAACUUCUUAUCUUUCUUGAGGAGUUCGGUUAGAGGUUUAGCAACUUUGGAGAAGUUCUCGACGAAGCGACGACAAUAACUCGCUAAGCCCAGAAAACUCCGAACUUGCUUGACCGAUUCAGGUGGAGUCCAAUUAAGGACGGCUUGAACUCGCUCAGGGUUAACAGCAAUACCUUUACCAGAUAUUACAUGACCCAGAUAGGUCACUUCUGACAACCAGAAUUCACAUUUAGAAAAUUUGGCAUAAAGGCGAUGCUCUCGAAGUUUCUUCAACACUAGCCUUAGAUGUUCGGUAUGUUCUUCCUCGUUCUUGGAGUAGAUGAGUAUAUCAUCGAGGUAAACUACGACGAAUUUAUCCAAAUACUCCAUGAAGAUUGAGUUCAUUAACCGAGAAAAGGUGGCUGGAGCGUUGGUUAAACCGAAGGACAUGACGGUGUACUCGUAUUGGCCAUAACGAGUAACAAAGGCCGUUUUAGGAAUGUCCCCGUUUCUGAUUUUGAUUUGAUGGUAGCCCAACCUCAAAUCCAUCUUGGAGAAGACUGAGGAUCCGGCGAGCUGAUCAUACAGAUCGUUGAUCCUGGGAAGUGGAUAUUUGUUCUUGAUUGUGACCAAAUUGACAGGUCGGUAAUCUACAACCAUCCGGUCCGUACCAUCCUUCUUCUUGACGAAUAGGACGGGGCAAGCCCACGGAGAUGAACUAGGGCGGAUGAAACCCUUUUUCAAGGACUCAUCGAGUUGUUUCUUAAGCUCGGCUAGUUCUAGGGGUGCCAUCUUAUAGGGUCUUCUAGCAAUCGGAACGGUUCCUGGAAUGAGGUCUAUUACGAACUCAACAUCCCUAUCAGGUGGAACACCUGGCAAUUCCUCUGGGAAGACAUCCGGGAAGUCACGGACUACCGGAAUGUCCUCAAGGUCUGGCAAAGGGCUGGCGUUAAGAGAAUAUAUUUGUCGCUUGGCUAUUCGGGUCAAGACAUUGACUAUCUUGCCCGAAGGGUGGGUGAGUUGAACAGUCCUAGAGAAGCAAUCAAUUUUGGCUUGAUGAGCUGACAUCCAGUCCAUACCCAAAAUGAUAUUAAUAUCUGAAGAUUUAAGGGCUAUCAAAGACGCGAGGAAAACAAGUCUAUCGACUUGGAUUUCAUUUCCAAAACUUACCCUAGAGGUCUGCCAUCUAGACCCAGGGGUAGAAAUUUCCAUAGUGGAUGGCAUGUCACAGAAUGCAACGUUAUGCAAACGAGCAUAAUUUUCGGAUAUAAAAGAAUGAGAGGCUCCUGUAUCGAAAAGAACAGAUGCCGGGUGGCAAUUUACAAGAAGCAUACCGAGAACGACGUUGGGAUCCUCUUGAGCUUCUUCGGCAGAGAUACAGUUGACAUGGCCACGUGAAGCGGUGACCGGCUUGGCGUGGAAUAUUUUUCCUGUCGGCUUGCCACGGCCAACAGCUUUAGCAGACUGGUUGGGGUUGGUCUGGGGACACUCACGCAUAUAGUGACCAGAUUCCCCACAUUUGAAACAAGUCACGGAACUGGUACGUGGAGGAGCAUUGUUGGUUGGACCCCCAUAGGCCUUGGCCGGUGCAGACUGUUGAACAGGGCGAGGCGCCUGGAAAGAUGGCCUCGGUGUGAACCUGGGUGGCAGGGCGGUGUUGGGCACCCACACGCGGCGCUUCUGAGGACCAGCACCGGAUGAGGAACCCAUGUCACGGCCAUGCUUGCGUGUUGCGUCAUAGUCAGUCUGACCAGUUUCAGCACUGAUGGCUUUGUUGACAAGUUUCGAAAAAGAUGUGCACUCAUGCAGACGGAGGUCACGGCGAAGCUCAGGACUAAGGCCCUUACGGAACCUUGCUUGCUUCUUGGCGUCAGUAGAAACUUCCUCAGUUGCAUAUCGUGCGAGAUUACCAAACUCCCUGCUAUAGACAUCCACAGAAAGUCGGCCUUGGGUAAAGCUGCAAAAUUCUUCGCGUUUACGGUCCAUGAGACCCUCCGGAAUGUGAUGUUCACGGAAAGCCUCGCUGAAUUCAGCGCAAGUAGUGACAUGGCCCGCUGGGCGCAUAGCUCCAUAAUUCUCCCACCAUAGACUGGCGGGGCCUUCAAGAUGAUAUGCAGCAAAGGUGACCUUGUCAGCCUCAGCUACUAGCGCGGAACGCAGCUUGUGAGAGAUACUGCGAAGCCAAUCAUCAGCGUCGAGAGGCUCGACGGAGUGGUGGAACGUGGGUGGAUGCAAUUUGAUAAAAUCACUGAGUGACACCACGUUAGCCCUUUGAUGGUGUGCUGUAUUCUGUUCAAUACGCUCCAACAAACGGUUGGUCUCCCGCUUGUUUCUCUCAGCUUCCAUCAUAACCUCGGCUAGUGAAGGAGGAUGAGGCAGAUUUGCAUCCCUGGCUUCACUGCCUUCGGCCUGCUCUUGGGAAGCAGGGUUAGCGCGCGUGUUGACCAUCCUAGGUAACCAAGACAAUGAUUUAGUCAGGAUGGUAAAAUUCCGACAUAGGAUACAUAAUGUAAGGAAUAAAUCGGAAUGCAAGAUGAUCAUCCGUAUGACAUGGUAGAUACAGAAACUGCUUCUUUAUUCCAUCGUCAUACACACCAUACAGGGUUUAGUACAAGACCAAACAAAGUACUAUUACGGUGAAAGAGGAUUACAUCUUAUCGAAGGCAUCCCAAGCUCCUAUACAUUAUUUUUCUACACCUCCGGAAGAGUACAAACUAAGUCAUAUCCCACGAGUCACGCGGGACGAUAGACGACACAGCUAGUGCGAACUAGUGAUACUACCACUAACUCAGACCGAUCCGUAGUAGUCCUCGUAGAAGUCACCUCCAUAGCCUGGAAGCUCAACAUGAUCAUCCGGAAACAGACGGUCUCGCGGAGCUUGUGGACCAUAGGGGCUAGGAUGAGGCCUUGGACCAACAGACGGUGGCCUGCGGGGACCGCGAGGUGGGGUGAUGCCUCCUACAUCACGCCAAACCAUCACGUCCGGCAGAGCAGAUCUCACAGGAUAGAGAUCGCGCAUAUCUGAAUAUCCAGCUUGCACCGCUGGUGCGAACCGAGUCAAAGUGGCCCAGUGGUCAGCACGGGUAUUGAAGAGCUCUAACCUUAAGGCCCAAUUUUCACGGUCCUUAUCCUCGAGCAUCUCAGCAGUGGUGCGAGUCCGUGAAUCCUCCUGAGUGGGGUCAGCAUAGAUAGCCUGGAGAUACCCUUGUGCUCCCGGAAGUGAUCCUGGCAUAUACCGGAAAUCAGAGUCCCGAAAUAAACCAGAUCUGACUCGCAUAAUGGUCAUCAUAGAGUAGGCGGCGUCCUGCACAGCCAUCUCAAUAGUAACCCCGAGUCCAUAGGAACAGUGAAGAGGCUCGGUGGAUCCAGGAUAAGAUGGAAAUAUCCUGACAGUGCAGAGAUACUGGCUUUGAUUGAAGUCCCGGAAUUGCUCUUCGACCGUGUACUCGGGAUACCAGCGGUAUCCAGCCUCAGUCAUUACCCUGACCAACUUAGCAGUAUGGCCGGGUACAUCUAGGCAUCGAGUCAGGCGAACCACUUGAUUGAGGUCGCGAGUGGCCAUCCGAAAGCACAAUCAUAAUGCAAAGGCAUUAGAAUUUCUAGCAAAAUUUCGGCAGCAUAACAGCUGUAAAUGCUCAAGAAGGAUUUUGAGACAUUUGACAAAGGAUUUCGUACAUACUCAACAUCAUCAUUUCAAAGUUCUGAAACCAUUCUGGCAACAUAAUGUGUUAAAAGAACUGAACUAGGCUUGUAUCCUUCAUACCUAUAAGGUACUACUGAUUAGUAACACGUGAUCCUGAUAGAGAGAAUAGAUCCUAAUUCCUUAACCCCCGGUGGAAGAAUGGACUGACUCAGAUCAGAAUGUCAUAAGACAAAGGAGCAAAAAAAAGAGCCUUACGUUCCAACCCACAAACAAUUCCCCUACAUAUAACUAAAGAAUUUCUAGACUCAACAUCGACCAGUUUGGCUUGGAGAACCUACAGGCAGUCCGGCUCUGAUACCAACGCUGUCAGGACCCCGACUCGAUGUCACAUCGAUCUAGCCGGUAACACUUCAUAUCACUUUGCGGCCUCACGCACGGUGUUCCCACGGGUGUCGCCUUACCUUUGCCCGGGACCGUUUGCGCCUUUUGGCUCACGUAUAUGAUAGUGUCGCUAGCAUCCAUAUGAUAAAGAGCCCGGGCUGACAUGACUAGUCGUAAACCCAAAGUGGCACAGACUUACAGGGACAGGCAUCCAUGACCCAGCUUCGAACGUGUCGGUCAUCAGCAAGUGGGUCCGGGCUGUAGCACUGGGCUAGCAGGACUCCGGUAAACCGGGCUGUAGCGGGCUAACAGGACUCCGGUACUCAAAGCGUGACAUUUCCCUGAAGGGACAAACACAGGAAUGAAGAAGGACACAUGCCGGCCAGCCUAAGUGUUCCAGAGCAGUAGCAAGCUACCAUGGCUCAGCGGUAACACUAGGAGACAUUUCCCGGUAAGAGAGGCUACUAAAGAUAAACAACUAGAUAGUCAGAUCCCACACAUACCAAGCAGGACCCCGACUCGAUGUCACAUCGAUCUAGCCGGUAACACUUCAUAUCACUUUGCGGCCUCACGCACGGUGUUCCCACGGGUGUCGCCUUACCUUUGCCCGGGACCGUUUGCGCCUUUUGGCUCACGUAUAUGAUAGUGUCGCUAGCAUCCAUAUGAUAAAGAGCCCGGGCUGACAUGACUAGUCGUAAACCCAAAGUGGCACAGACUUACAGGGACAGGCAUCCAUGACCCAGCUUCGAACGUGUCGGUCAUCAGCAAGUGGGUCCGGGCUGUAGCACUGGGCUAGCAGGACUCCGGUAAACCGGGCUGUAGCGGGCUAACAGGACUCCGGUACUCAAAGCGUGACAUUUCCCCGAAGGGACAGACACAGGAACGAAGAAGGACACAUGCCGGCCAGCCUAAGUGUUCCAGAGCAGUAGCAAGCUACCAUGGCUCAGCGGUAACACUAGGAGACAUUUCCCGGUAAGAGAGGCUACUAAAGAUAAACAACUAGAUAGUCAGAUCCCACACAUACCAAGCAGGACCCCGACUCGAUGUCACAUCGAUCUAGCCGGUAACACUUCAUAUCACUUUGCGGCCUCACGCACGGUGUUCCCACGGGUGUCGCCUUACCUUUGCCCGGGACCGUUUGCGCCUUUUGGCUCACGUAUAUGAUAGUGUCGCUAGCAUCCAUAUGAUAAAGAGCCCGGGCUGACAUGACUAGUCGUAAACCCAAAGUGGCACAGACUUACAGGGACAGGCAUCCAUGACCCAGCUUCGAACGUGUCGGUCAUCAGCAAGUGGGUCCGGGCUGUAGCACUGGGCUAGCAGGACUCCGGUAAACCGGGAUGUAGCGGGCUAACAGGACUCCGGUACUCAAAGCGUGACAUUUCCCCGAAGGGACAGACACAGGAACGAAGAAGGACACAUGCCGGCCAGCCUAAGUGUUCCAGAGCAGUAGCAAGCUACCAUGGCUCAGCGGUAACACUAGGAGACAUUUCCCGGUAAGAGAGGCUACUAAAGAUAAACAACUAGAUAGUCAGAUCCCACACAUACCAAGCAUUUCAAUCACACACACAAUAUGCUCGAUAUGUGCAAAUACAACGAAGCAUCACAACAUGACUCUACGACACAAGUACUUUAUUCAUUAGGCUCCGAGGAGCGAGAUAUUACAAACAUGGGUCUCAUGACCCAACACUCAGAGCAUACAAGUCAAAGCACAAGCGGAAGCUAUCAUGUCUGAGUACAGACAUCUAUAAAUGAAAAAGGCUGAGAAGCCUGACUAUCUAUCAGAUCCUGCCGGGGCACAAGAUCGUAGCUGAGGUAUCAAGCUAAACGUCGAAGUCCGCGUGAAACUACUAGCGAGAUCGAAGUCUCUCUGCAAAAACAUAAAAUAGGCAAACGUGAGUACAAAUGUACCCAGCAAGACUUACAUCAGAUCUAUCUACAUAUGCCUCAUUAUCAACAAAGGGGAUGGUGGAGUUUGACUGCAGCAAGCCAGCUUUGACUCAGUGGCUAACCUGAACUACGACUGCAAAUAACUUUUGAGGUGGCGCACACGAGUCCACAUAUUCACCAUAUCAAUACACCACUAUGGAUCCGCUCCCGUCUCCCUACGAGAACGCCAUCCAUAGCACUCACGCUUAUCUUGCGUAUUUUAGAGUAUCCACUUUCACUUGUCUAUGAACUGAUAUAAGCAACCCAGAAGUCCUUUUCCGCGGACACGGCUAUUCGAAUAGAUGAUGUUAACCCUGCAGGGGUGUACUUCUUCAUACAUGUUUCCACCACUUAGCGUCUGCACACGACAUGUGCUCGGCAGACUUCAAGCGAAAGCCGACGUGGGUGUAGACCACGACCUACCUAAACACUUAAGCCUCUAGUCCAGGUUUAUCGCCUAUCCAGGUUCCAUCCGCAGGGAGUCCGACCGAGGUUUCCCAUACGGCCCCGAACGAUGUGAACAGGGUUCCCGAGAUACCUAACGGGUAUUCGGUACACCCGGCCACGUACCUACCGCAUCACAGCCCACCCCUACGGUCAGCGCUGUCCACGGCCUCCAGUAGGCUACAAACACCAGAAACUACUUGCAACUCCUGGACAGAGAGCUAGGGUGAAUAAGAAGUCGAGCGGGGUCAUAUUUCAGGGCCCAAUGCAUGGUAGUAGCUGUAUCUUAAAUCACAUAUACGGAUCUCAGUGCUUAAGGUCGGCUUCAAUGAAACAACCCACCAUGUACUCCUACAUGGCCUCUCAUCGAUACCUUUACCAAAUCGUGUUCACCACACCAUUCUCAUUACCGACAUUAACAUUUCACUCUAGCCCAUCACCCAGAUGAACCAGACCUGACACGACUCUAAGCAUAGCAGGCAUAGCAAGGUAGGAACAACACAUACACAUGGCUCAAUCAACUCCUACACAUGCUAGUGGGUUUCAUCUAGUUACUGUGGCAAUGACAGGUCAUGCAGAGGAAAUGGGUUCAACUACCGUAGCACACAGCAGUUUGAAUCGCGUUGUCUUAAUGCAGUAAAAGAGAGCAGGAGCGAGAACAUGGGAUUGUAUCGAUAUGAUCGAAUGGUUGGUUGCUUGCCUGAUGGUUCGAUGCACGGAUACGGUUCUUCGUUAGGGUAAUCACGGUACUCCUCGGAGGCAGAACCUGUCGCAAAGGACACCGAUACACAAGCAUCACCAAACAAUGUGCAACAAUAUGAUGCAUGCAUGAAACAUGGCAAUAUGAGUGUGUUGGGCUAAUGCAACUAAAACCAGAGGGGUUUGAACAAAUUUGAAUCAAAGAUUCAAAUUUCAAACUCAAACAUGGCAUUUUAAAGUGCUUUUCCUUGUUCUGCUUAAACCAUCAAUUUAACUUGUUUGAUCAUGCAUGAAAAUAGUACAGAUGGAUAGAUUGGAUUUUUCUGAUCAUUUUUCAUAUAUAAUUUGUCCAAUUUGGAGUUACAGAAUAAAAGUUAUGAAUUUUUGAAGUUUAAAUAAUAUUCUGGAAUUUCCUGAUUUAAUUUAAAUCCAGAAAAUCAAUUACUGCGUCAGCCUGACGUCAGUGUGACGUCGGCAGGUCAACGGAACAGUUCUGGGUCAAACCUGACGGUGGGUCCCGCAUGUCAGGGUGAUUAUUUUAAUUAAGAUUUAAUUAAAACUAAUCCUGUAUAAUUAGCAGGGCUGGGCCCCACCUGUCAUUGACUCAGGGGAGUCAACCAGGGCCCACCCGUGGUCAAAGUCAAAGUCGGCUGCCGGCGUUUAGCCGCCGGCGAGCCCGACGCGGCGGCGGGAGUGGUUUUGGCCAUUUCGGCCACCAAAUGGACCGCGGAGACCACCGGAGUGGAGCUGAGGACAAACCGCAGCUCUUGGCGGAGUCCGUUGGGGUCGGGGUGGCCGGAGUCGACGGCGGCGAGCUCGGCUGCGGCCGCCGGGGUUCGGUCGUGCACGGGAACGGGGUUGGAGCUCGAAGUCGAGCAAAGCGAGGCGCUAGGGAUGCUCUACGGGGUCUUGCGAACUCGUUGGACUCGCCGGGGUGACCAAAUGGUCACCGGAGCUGCGUCGACGNNNNNNNNNNNNNNNNNNNNNNNNNNNNNNNNNNNNNNNNNNNNNNNNNNNNNNNNNNNNNNNNNNNNNNNNNNNNNNNNNNNNNNNNNNNNNNNNNNNNNNNNNNNNNNNNNNNNNNNNNNNNNNNNNNNNNNNNNNNNNNNNNNNNNNNNNNNNNNNNNNNNNNNNNNNNNNNNNNNNNNNNNNNNNNNNNNNNNNNNNNNNNNNNNNNNNNNNNNNNNNNNNNNNNNNNNNNNNNNNNNNNNNNNNNNNNNNNNNNNNNNNNNNNNNNNNNNNNNNNNNNNNNNNNNNNNNNNNNNNNNNNNNNNNNNNNNNNNNNNNNNNNNNNNNNNNNNNNNNNNNNNNNNNNNNNNNNNNNNNNNNNNNNNNNNNNNNNNNNNNNNNNNNNNNNNNNNNNNNNNNNNNNNNNNNNNNNNNNNNNNNNNNNNNNNNNNNNNNNNNNNNNNNNNNNNNNNNNNNNNNNNNNNNNNNNNNNNNNNNNNNNNNNNNNNNNNNNNNNNNNNNNNNNNNNNNNNNNNNNNNNNNNNNNNNNNNNNNNNNNNNNNNNNNNNNNNNNNNNNNNNNNNNNNNNNNNNNNNNNNNNNNNNNNNNNNNNNNNNNNNNNNNNNNNNNNNNNNNNNNNNNNNNNNNNNNNNNNNNNNNNNNNNNNNNNNNNNNNNNNNNNNNNNNNNNNNNNNNNNNNNNNNNNNNNNNNNNNNNNNNNNNNNNNNNNNNNNNNNNNNNNNNNNNNNNNNNNNNNNNNNNNNNNNNNNNNNNNNNNNNNNNNNNNNNNNNNNNNNNNNNNNNNNNNNNNNNNNNNNNNNNNNNNNNNNNNNNNNNNNNNNNNNNNNNNNNNNNNNNNNNNNNNNNNNNNNNNNNNNNNNNNNNNNNNNNNNNNNNNNNNNNNNNNNNNNNNNNNNNNNNNNNNNNNNNNNNNNNNNNNNNNNNNNNNNNNNNNNNNNNNNNNNNNNNNNNNNNAGCCGGGGGAGAGUGAGAGAGAGCAGGGGGGGAGGCGUGGCGUGGUCCGGGGCAUCGAGGCGAGGAGGGGAGGGCAGGCAGGCAGGGAGAGAGGUGGCGUGGCGCGGUGGCGCGCGCGCGCGCCGGCCACACUCCCCUCCCUCUGUCGGGACGAAGACGACAGAGGAGGGAGGUGGGCUGGGCCGGCUGCUGGCUGGGCCGGCCAGCUGGCUGGGCUGCACAGGGAGGAGCCCAGGUAAGCUUCUCCCUUUUUUAAUUAUUUCUGUUUUCUAAUUUCUGACAUUUGUUUUGAUUUAAAAAAUAUAUUAAAUCAUUUAUUUAACUUAUGCCAAUUUUUGCAGGAGCCAUAUAUAUUAUUCCAGAGCUCUUUUAUAAAUGGCAUAAUAUUUGGGCAUAUAUUAAUAUAUAUAAUUAAUAUAUUUCCAAUGCAAAUACUUAUGCAUUAAUUCCAAAUGCCCAAAAUAAAUGUCCAUGAGCCACUAAAAAUAUUGGUUUGAUUUUUAUCUCUGUCCAAUAUUUUCAGAGAGCAACAUGAGCAUUUUCUUGGAUCCUUUUGGAGAAAUUUUUAUUUGGGUCAUUUUCAAAAUGAUUCUGAGGGUUUCACAGAUCCCCAUUUCAAGUUUCUGAUGAAAGAGUAAACAUGAUGCAACACUCUAAUGCAUGGCUAACUAGGAUGUGACAUGGGUGUGCCAAACGUCACAACGUAACUGGGUGACUAUAAAGGUAUACUACGGGUAUCUCCGAAAGUGUCUGUUGGGUUGACAUGGAUCAAGACUGGGAUUUGUCACUCCGUAUGACGGAGAGGUAUCACUGGGCCCACUCGGUAAUGCAUCAUCAUAAUGAGCUCAGAGUGACCAAGUGUCUGGUCACGGGAUCAUGCAUUACGGUACGAGUAAAGUGACUUGCCGGUAACGAGAUUGAACGAGGUAUUGGGAUACCGACGAACGAUCGAAUCUCGGACAAGUAACAUAUCGAUUGACAAAGGGAAUUGUAUACGGGGUUGUUUGAAUCCUCGACAUCGUGGUUCAUCCGAUGAGAUCAUUGAGGAGCAUGUGGGGGCCAACAUGGGUAUCCAGAUCCCGCUGUUGGUUAUUGACCGGAGAGCGAUCACGGUCAUGUCUACAUGUCUCCCGAACCCGUAGGGUUUACACACUUAAGGUUCGGUAACGCUAGGGUUGUAGGGAUAUGUAUAUGCAGUAACCCGAAUGUUGUUCGGAGUCCCGGAUGAGAUCCCAGACGUCACGAGGAGUUCCGGAAUGGUCCGGAGGUAAAGAUUUAUAUAUGGGAAGUCCUGUUUCGGCCAUCGGGACAAGUUUCGGGGUCAUCGGUAUUGUAUCGGGACCACCGGAAGGGUCCCGGGGGUCCACCGGGUGGGGCCACCUGUCCCGGGGGGGCACAUGGGCUGUAGGGGGUGCGCCUUGGCCUACAUGGGCCAAGGGCACCAGCCCCAAGAGGCCCAUGCGCCUAGGGUUUCAAGGAGGAAGAGUCCUAGGAGGGGAAGGCACCUCCUAGGUGCCUUGGGGAGGAAGGAUUCCUCCCCCUUGGCCGCACCCCCUAGGAGAUUGGAUCUCCUAGGGCCGGCGCCCCCCCCCUUGGCCCUCCUAUAUAUAGUGGGGGAAGGAGGGCUUUUGAUCCACGCCUUUUGGUUGCCUCCUUCUCCCUCUCCAACACCUCCUCCUCCUCCAUAGCGCUUGGCGAAGCCCUGACGGAGUACUGCAGCUCCAUCACCACCACGCCGUCGUGUUGCUGCUGGAGCCAUAUUCCUCAACCUCUUCUUCCCUCCUGCUGGAUCAAGAAGAAGGAGACAUUACGCUGACCGUACGUGUGUUGAACGCGGAGGUGCCGUCCGUUCGGUGCUAGGAUCUCCGGUGAUUUGGAUCACGUCGUGUUCGACUACCUCAUCCCCGUUCUUUGAACGCUUCCGCUCGCAAUCUACAAAGGUAUGUAGAUACAUCCGAUCACUCGUUGCUAGAUGAACUCCUAGAUGGAUCUUGGUGAAACCGUAGGAAAUUUUUUGUUUUUCUGCUACGUUCCCCAACAACAAUAUCUGAGUACAGACAUAAGUUAGACAAGUUUGCCUUAAGAAGGCUAGCACAAAAGCAACAAUGAUCGAAAAGGCAAGGCCUCCUGCCUGGGAGCCUCCUAACUACUCCUGGUCAUCAUCGGUCUCCACGUAGUAGUAGGCAUCGGCGGUGGCAUCUGGCUCCUGGGUUCCAACAUUUGGUUGCAUCAACCGGAAAGAGGAAGAAAGGGGGAAAGGGGGGAGCAAAGCAACCGUGAGUACUCAUCCAAAGUACUCGCAAGCAAGGAUCUACACUACAUAUGCAACAUUAUCAAAGGAAGUCUGUAUAUGUGGACUGGGCUGCAGAAAUGCCAGAAUAGAGAGAAGGCCUAGUCCUAUUGAAGACUAGCAUCUUCUGGAAACCACCAUCCUGCAGCAACAGGAGGGGGUAGAGUAGCAUAAAGUAAAGUAGUAGUAAUGUUAUCAACCUCGGCCAGAGAUCCUUUCUCGACUCCCUGCAAGAAAGUAAUCCCAGAGCCAUACUAUCCAGUUAUCAUCACAAUCCAUUCCUCAUAUCCAAGUAUCAUCUCAAGUCUCCAGUUCUAGUUGUAUCGAUCGGGAUACAACUCCAAGUGUCCGUUACCGUAGGACAGGCUAUCGAUAGAUGUUUUCUUCCCUGCAGGGGUGCACCAACUUACCCACCACGCUCGAUUAACUCCGGCCGGACACACUUUCCUGGGUCAUGCCCGGCCUCGGCCAAACAAUACACCGCAACCCGACCUAGGCUUAAUAGAGAGGUCAGCACGCCGGACUAAACCUAUGCCCCCAGGGGUCAUGGGUCAUCUCCCCGGGAACUCCUGCAUGUUGCGAACGCGGCCGGUGAGCAGACCUAGCUACCUCCUUCAACAAGGUAGGUGCUUUCCAGUCCAACCCGGCGCGCGCCGCUCAGUCGCUGACGUCUAUUAAGCUUCGGCUGAUGCAUACGACGCAGAACGCCCAUACUAUGCCCACGUGAUGGUUAGUGCUAUCAGGCCAGAGGCCCCUCGGAUCAAAUAUCCAAAUCGUAGUGGAUUAGGAACGCGCGUUAACAAGUAGAGACUCACGAAAGAUGUGACCCCGUUGCCCUAUCUCGAGGACUUGCGGCAAGGGCUAGGAAUGCCCGGCCAUGCCUCGUAAUUAUCUCGCGGGCACCUUCCAGGUCCGCCUGACUCCACAUCACUCGCAAUUAAGCUCGCGCGGGUACCCCUCAGGGUCGACCCGUCUUUCCAAGUAACAGUGGUAAAGUCCAAGUUCUGUGUGUCCAAACAUCAAGGGGAAAACCCGAGGAAUCACCCCCGAUGAAUUCCACUAGAUGUAAUCAUCAAGGUGAACGUAAGAGGAAUCAACCCCGAGGUUCACACUUGAGGGGUUGCACGACAGAGUCGUAUCGGAAGUGGUUAAGGAGAAAUCACCCUCGAUGACCACGACCGAAUGACUACACUACAGGGUUAACAUCAGAAGUGCUGAAGAGGUUUCACCCUCGGCACUCGAUAGUAACCCAGUAGUGUCGAUCAACUAAGGGGAAAGUGAUGUGCGGUGUCGGGGCCUGGUCUUCGAUCCCGUUGAUUGGGUCUUCGAUGAUGAAGCAGGGGCAACAGGGACAAGGUGAGGGGUCACUGAUGGAUCACUAACCAACCUAUACUAAGCAAUUUAGGAUAAGCAGGUAAGGUAACAAUAAGCAGGGUACAGAAGCAGGCUAUGCAUGAGAAUAUGAGCAAACAAUAACAGUAGCAAAAUCUAAUGCAAGCAUGAGAGAAUGGAAUGGACGAUAUCGGGAUGAUCAAAAAGUGGGGCUUGCCUGGUUGCUCAGACAAGAACGAGGGGUCGUCGGUGACGUAGUCGAUCACAGCGGCAUCAUCGGCUCGGGGUCUACCGGAGAGAAGAGGGGGAAGAAACAGUAAAUAUAAGCAAACAGAUGCAACGCUAAGCAUGGCAUGACGAUAAGUAGAAUUAGGGUCGAUCUAACGUAGUACUACACGUUGCAGACAGAGGGGAUAAACAUCCAAGGAUGAAUUCCCGGGGUUAGGCGGAUUCCGGACAGAGGAAAAGAGGGGGAAAGUUUCAUGUUCAGCAUGCUAGGGUCAUGUGACAGAUGAACGAGCCACGUAUUCGGAUUCGUUGGAUUUUUCUGAGCAACUUUCAUAUAGAAAACAUUUUCAACCGAGCUAUGGUUUAAUUUAUAUGAUUUUUCAAAGUUUUAUUAAUAUUCUGAAAUUGUUUUAAUUAUUUAUUUCGAAUUUAAAUAAUGUUGAUUCUUUUUAUACCCAGACCGGGCUAGCCACAGUCAAUGACAUGUGGGGCCAAUCAAAGCCCAGCCAACAGGUCAACAGUCAAAGUUGACCUUGGUCAAUGUGUGAACAGUGCUAGUGGGUCCUACUUGUCAUGGACACUGUGUCUAUUAAGUCAAUUAAUUAAAGAUAACCAACAGGGUGGUCCACAUGUCAUUUUCUAUCAAAGUAAAUUAGCACUAAUUUAAGACUAACUAAUCUAGUCCUAAUUAAAUAAGGGGCCGGCCGUACUGGACAAUGGCCCAGCCGGCCACACACGCAGCACACACACCACACGCAGCACGCAACACACAAAUUUGUUUUCUGUUAACAAAAGAUUUAUUCUAUGCAUCAAAUGGAUUUGGUCCAGUGAGGUAAAAUGGAGUUUGUCACACAUACUACCUUCCCAUAUUUUUCAAGUCCUGUUAACGGUUGUUUAACCCCAGAUUAGGGGCUGUAGAGGGAAUUAAUCAAUGUAAAAACUAAACAGCUAGCUAGCUAGCUAGCAGGAGUACAGGCAAGCAGCGAUAGGGAGGCAGUAGCAGAGAGCAGAGGCGUAGCGGCAGCGGCAGGAUGCAGUAGCAGCGGGAACGCGCGGGGACGGCAGCGGCUAGCAUCAGUAGAAGUGCAGCAGCAGAGGCACGGCCACGCGCAGGCGGACGCGUGCCUGGGCGCGGCCAGCAAGCGGCCCCCGUGGCCGGACGCGACCAGGGGCGCGCGGGCACGACAGCGACCUCGGCGACGGCCCGAGCUCGGUAGGGUGUGGCUACGGCGCAGGAGCUCGAGAUCGAGUGAGUUGGCGAGCUAGGAGGGAGCUACAGGCGUGCGGGAGGCCAGUUAGUGUACGCACGCGACCAGAGGUUCGUCGGAACCUCGCCGGCGACGAGUCCGAGCGGCAGUGGGUUCGGCAACGGUGGUGGCCGCAUCUAGAGGUCGAAAUCGAUGCCGAAAAUAGAGGGGAUGGACACGGAGCUUACGUAGGGAGCGCAAGGGGUCCCGUCGAUGGUUUAGUAGCAGUAGAGGUGGCCGGCGUUGGCGACGGCAGCGGCGACCGAGACGGAUGGAGGUUGAGGACGGGGAAGCAGCGGGCGUCCCGGUGGCUUCCAGCUCGAUCUCGCCCAUGUAGUCGAAGUAGGCGAGGUCGGGGAGGCCGGAGGCGGACUGGAGUCGCGGCGACGACGGCGGACACCGGCGAUGUACGCGGUGGGGACGGCCUCGAUGGCGAGCGUACGGGGCGGCCCCGCUCGAAUCGAGGCUUGCAGUCGAUGAGGAAGAGGACGGUGGUGCUCCUGGACUAAGCUCGGCGACGAGGGAUGGCCGGUGGCCACGGGAUCGAUGACGACGCGGCGAUGGAGGAGCUCGGGUGGGUGCGGGGCGAGAGUGACGGCGCGUGGGAGGGAAAAAGGAGGCUAGG
rnacentral:lncRNA from 1 species